rfam:Oryza nivara chromosome 1, whole genome shotgun sequence.
AAUAAGUGCAGUUUUGUAUUAUUCAUGUUCAACGUUUGACCGUUCGUCUUAUUUAAAAAAAAUAUGAUUAGUAUUUUUAUUGCUAUUAGAUGAUAAAAUAUGAAUAGUGUAACUAUUUUUUUUAAAAUUUUUUAUAAAUUUUUUAAAUAAAAUAGACGGUCAAAUGUUAGGUAUGGAUAUUUACGGUUGUAUUUAUU